AUGCUUCCCUGGCAGGGGAGGUCCCAUGAUCAAGAAGGUAGUCUUCCCAAGGCAAGACUCAUCUGUUGCACCAAGGAUGUACUGACCCCUGUGAUUUCCCCAAAUGCCAGAUACAUGACUACAUAAUUUGUGGUGGCAGAGGAUGACAUGGAUGCUGUCA
ensembl:snRNA U1 U1 spliceosomal RNA